CUAGACAUUAGGAGGAAAUUCUUCACUCAGAGGGUGAAGAACACUGGAACAGGUUGCCCAAGAGAGGUCGUGGAGUCUCUUUCUUU